ACCGUUAUGUUGAGAGCGUAUUGCAGCAGAGUGAAGGGUGCGUUUUGUUCAGCUUGCGCUUGCGUAGGUGUACUCGAAACGUUAUCCGCCAGUCGUGAGCUUUUGGUGGCUUAUUUAUAGUCUCUAGAGGUGGAGGGCUCCCCUUUAUGGGUGAGGACGAAUCUGGAUAAUGCUGUGAUUCGACCCGUCUUGAAACACGGACCAAGAAGUCUAGCGUGCAUGCGAGUCAAAGGGUGAAAAAACCUGAGGGCGCAGUGAAAGCAAUUUUAAAACGAUAGCAGUUUGAGGCGGCAUACGAUCCUUGAUUGUAGGUCUGACCUAGAGCAUGUAUGCUAGGACCCGAAAGAUGGUGAACUAUGCUUGAGUAGGGUGAAGCCAGGAGAAAUCCUGGUGGAAGCUCGUAGCGGUGCUGACGUGCAAAUCGCUCGUCUAACUUGAGUAUAGGGGCGAAAGACUAAUCGAACCAUCUGGUAGCUGGUUUCCUCCGAAGUUUCUCUCAGGAUAGCGGACUGAUAUAAUGUUGUUGUGUGCGGUAAAGCGAAUGAUUAGCGUAUUUGGGGGAAUUUAUUCCUUCGGGCGAUUCUCAAACUUUAAAUGCGUACGGAUGUUGCUGCUUAAUUGAGCGACUGUCGUGAAAAACAUCGGUUUCGUGGGCCAAUUUUGGUAAGCAGAACUGGCGAUAUGGGAUGAACCAUAAGCGUAGUUA
rnacentral:rRNA from 1 species